rnacentral:rRNA from 1 species
GAGUUGGAUCUGGCUCAGGAUGAACGCUGGCGGCGUGCCUAAUACAUGCAAGUCGAACGAGUUCUCGUUGAUGAUCGGUGCUUGCACCGAGAUUCAACAUGGAACGAGUGGCGGACGGGUGAGUAACACGUGGGUAACCUGCCCUUAAGUGGGGGAUAACAUUUGGAAACAGAUGCUAAUACCGCAUAGAUCCAAGAACCGCAUGGUUCUUGGCUGAAAGAUGGCGUAAGCUAUCGCUUUUGGAUGGACCCGCGGCGUAUUAGCUAGUUGGUGAGGUAAUGGCUCACCAAGGCGAUGAUACGUAGCCGAACUGAGAGGUUGAUCGGCCACAUUGGGACUGAGACACGGCCCAAACUCCUACGGGAGGCAGCAGUAGGGAAUCUUCCACAAUGGACGCAAGUCUGAUGGAGCAACGCCGCGUGAGUGAAGAAGGCUUUCGGGUCGUAAAACUCUGUUGUUGGAGAAGAAUGGUCGGCAGAGUAACUGUUGUCGGCGUGACGGUAUCCAACCAGAAAGCCACGGCUAACUACGUGCCAGCAGCCGCGGUAAUACGUAGGUGGCAAGCGUUAUCCGGAUUUAUUGGGCGUAAAGCGAGCGCAGGCGGUUUUUUAAGUCUGAUGUGAAAGCCCUCGGCUUAACCGAGGAAGCGCAUCGGAAACUGGGAAACUUGAGUGCAGAAGAGGACAGUGGAACUCCAUGUGUAGCGGUGAAAUGCGUAGAUAUAUGGAAGAACACCAGUGGCGAAGGCGGCUGUCUGGUCUGUAACUGACGCUGAGGCUCGAAAGCAUGGGUAGCGAACAGGAUUAGAUACCCUGGUAGUCCAUGCCGUAAACGAUGAAUGCUAGGUGUUUGGAGGGUUUCCGCCCUUCAGUGCCGCAGCUAACGCAUUAAGCAUUCCC